rnacentral:rRNA from 1 species
AUGAACGCUGGCGGCGUGCUUAACACAUGCAAGUCGAGCGGCAGCGCGAGUAGUUUACUACUUGGCGGCGAGCGGCGGACGGCUGAGUAACGCGUGGGAAUGUGCCCUAAAGUGAGGGAUAACGCACCGAAAGGUGUGCUAAUACCGCAUAUGGUCUUCGGAUUAAAGAAUUUAUUCGCUUUAGGAGCAGCCUGCGUCGGAUUAGGUAGUUGGUAGGGUAAUGGCCUACCAAGCCGACGAUCCGUAGCUGGUCUGAGAGGAUGACCAGCCAGACUGGAACUGAGACACGGUCCAGACUCCUACGGGAGGCAGCAGUGAGGAAUCUUCCACAAUGGGCGAAAGCCUGAUGGAGCAACGCCGCGUGCAGGAUGAAGGCCUUCGGGUUGUAAACUGCUUUUAUUUGUGAGGAAUAUGACGGUAGCAAAUGAAUAAGGAUCGGCUAACUACGUGCCAGCAGCCGCGGUCAUACGUAGGAUCCGAGCGUUAUCCGGAGUGACUGGGCGUAAAGAGUUGCGUAGGUGGUUAUAUAAGUGAAUAGUGAAAUCUGGCGGCUCAACCGUACAGGCUAUUAUUCAAACUGUAUAACUCGAGAGUGGUAGAGGUUACUGGAAUUUCUUGUGUAGGAGUGAAAUCCGUAGAUAUAAGAAGGAACACCAAUGGCGUAGGCAGGUAACUGGACCAUUUCUGACACUAAGGCACGAAAGCGUGGGGAGCGAACCGGAUUAGAUACCCGGGUAGUCCACGCCGUAAACGAUGGAUACUAGCUGUUGGAGGUAUCGACCCCUUCAGUAGCGAAGCUAACGCGUUAAGUAUCCCGCCUGUGGAGUACGGUCGCAAGACUAAAGCAUAAAGGAAUUGACGGGGACCCGCACAAGCGGUGGAUCGUGUUCUUUAAUUCGAUGCUAAACGAAGAACCUUACCAGGGCUUGACAUCCAGGGAAUUUCUGCGAAAGCAGUUAGUGCCUUUUGGAACCCUGUGACAGGUGAUGCAUGGCCGUCGUCAGCUCGUGUCGUGAGAUGUUUGGUUAAGUCCAUCAACGAGCGCAACCCUUGUGAAUAGUUGUAUUUUUCUAUUCAGACUGCCCCGGUAACGGGGAGGAAGGAGGGGAUGAUGUCAGGUCAGUAUUUCCCUUACGUCCUGGGCUAGAAACACGAUACAAUGGCUAGUACAAUGCGCAGCGAAACCGCGAGGUGGAGCGAAUCCCAAAAAGCCGGUCCCAGUUCGGAUCGUAGUCUGCAACUCGACUACGUGAAGUCGGAGUCGCUAGUAAUCGCAGAUCAGCAACGCUGCGGUGAAUACGUUCCCGGGUCUUGUACACACCGC